GAUGAACGCUAGCUACAGGCUUAACACAUGCAAGUCGAGGGGAAACGAUGAGAGAGCUUGCUCUCUUAGUCGUCGACCGGCGCACGGGUGAGUAACGCGUAUCCAACCUGCCUCUGACCAAGGGAUAACCCGUCGAAAGUCGGACUAAUACCUUAUGCAGUCGUCGGAAGUCAUCUGAUGACGACGAAAGAUUUCAUCGGUGAGAGAUGGGGAUGCGUCUGAUUAGCUUGUUGGCGGGGUAACGGCCCACCAAGGCGACGAUCAGUAGGGGUUCUGAGAGGAAGGUACCCCACAUUGGAACUGCGACACGGUCCAAACUCCUACGGGAGGCAGCAGUGAGGAAUAUUGGUCAAUGGGCGUAAGCCUGAACCAGCCAAGUAGCGUGCAGGAUGACGGCCCUAUGGGUUGUAAACUGCUUUUAUGCGGGGAUAAAGUGAGGGACGUGUCCUUCAUUGCAGGUACCGCAUGAAUAAGGACCGGCUAAUUCCGUG
rnacentral:rRNA from 1 species